rnacentral:rRNA from 1 species
AUUGAACGCUAGCGGCAUGCUUUACACAUGCAAGUCGAACGAGUGGCGGACGGGUGAGUAAUAUAUCGGAACGUGCCCAGUAGCGGGGGAUAACUACUCGAAAAGGUAGCUAAUACCGCCUACCAUCGGAACUGCCAAUAUGGUAUUAGCUAGUUGGUGGGGUAAAGGCUAACCAAGGCCACGAUCCGUAGCUGGUUUGAGAGGAGGACCAGACACACUGGGACUGAGACACGGCCCAGACUCCUACGGGAGGCAGCAGUGGGGAAUUUUGGACAAUGGGGGAAACCCUGAUCCAGCCAUCCCGCGUGUAUGAGAAGGCCUUCGGGUUGUAAAGUACUUUUAGCAGAGAAGCGGUAUCUGCAGAAUAAGCACCGGCUAACUACGUGCCAGCAGCCGCGGUAAUAC